GAAUUUCGAAACAUGGUUUAGUCUACCGCCUGAUAUUAAGAACAAAAGCAUUGAAGAUGAAACUACAAGUUUUUUUAAUCCUUACUUUUGUGCUUUUAGCAUCAUACGCCGAUUUAUCUGAAGGGGCUCCAAGAUGGAGUGGCUUCAAAAAGAUUGAGAGCUUCGGAAGAAAGGCAUUUAAGGUGGGGAAAAGGGUUUUACCGGUUGCAAUUGGAUAUGCUGGACUUAUUGGUGGACGAUAACAGCAGUUUGGACAAUAUAAUGGAUGGGCCAUGUUGAAUACCUUAUUUAAUUUUUAUAAAAUUGAAUGUAAUCUAAUCUAUAUUCACAAUUAACUUAGUAAAUUAUAUUGCAGCAUUUAUAA